rfam:Triticum aestivum genome assembly, contig: Triticum_aestivum_CS42_TGACv1_scaffold_571333_7AS
GAGGUACUCCCUUCGUCCGGAAAUAAUUGUCAUCAAAAUAAAUAAAAGGGGAUGUAUCUAAAUGUAUAUUAGUUCUAGAUACAUCCUCUUUUAUCCAUUUUGAUGACAAGUAUUCUCGGACAGAGGAAGUAGUAC